GUCAGCCUCCUCCCUGCAACACACAGGCACAAGGCGGUUUGUAAGGGGCUCAGAAGCCCCUUCCUCCCGGUGGACAGCGCGCCUCCAAUCUGGCUGCCCUGGGAGCAGCAGCUCUUUGGCUUCCAAACAGAAAAGAACUCUGGGUGGGUCUCCCGAAAGAUCUGACGCCUGGCUGCCAUUUAGUCCAUCUGCUGAAUUCAGUUGUGCAACAGAAGAUUAACAACAUCCCAGACAGAAAAGCAGAUGAACACGAUGAGACUGCUUAAGCCGGGCAGGCACUGUGGCAUGGUGGUUAAGUCGCAGCCUGUGACACCAGCAACCCAUGUGAACUCUGGUUCAAGUCCCACUGCUCCACUUCCCACCCAGCUCCCUGUUAACGUGUCUGGGAAAGCAGCCAAU